CCGCGGGGCCCUGGGCGGGAGCCGAGCGGGGCUGCAGCACCGAGGGCCCUUCUGUGCCCCUCUCGUACCGUUUUUGUGCCUUUCUGAAGGAAAAUGCCCCCCCUAAGCAGAGUUGUGUCGAGACGAUCCGUGUCUCUGCGGUUUCGUGUUGUCCAGAGUCUCGAGGACUUUUUGGUUGAUGCAGUCGCUGGUUCCAUGACUGACUGCAAGCAACAGCUACUGCCAAAACAAAGAAGGGAACGGGGAACGUGGAGUGGAAGGAAGGGCAGGAUCAUUUUAUUGCUUAAGUACCUAUACAACAACCUGGAAUGCUGGUGUUUUUCUGCUUCUAGUGGCCUGGAGUUCAAACACGGGUAAUUUUUCAGUGGUCCCAGUAGCAAUGAUCAAGCAGCUCACUAAGACGACACAUUUGCUGAGGGGCAGGAGGAUAAAUAUGUGCAGCUCGGGAAUUUCUGGCAAGCUUGGAACCGUGGGGGAGUUUCCUGCUCUAGAAUCUGUGCAGUGGUGCCCCUCCAGCAGAGACAUCAUCUGUGAUUGAAACACCUCAGACUUUCUGAGGUAGUUUUUUUAAGGACAUGUUUUAAUUGCUUUUACAAAAUCUUCAGCUUUUGCUUUAAGCUUUUGGGUUAAGUUGAUUUUUGAGUUCAUUACAUCCCUCCACUACUUACAGUUUUUUGGUUUAACAGGAAUAUUCACCAGCCAUUUCUCUCUUCGGUACUGGCUUUACAGAUCCUAGCAAACCCUUUCUUUGGAGACUGGAUGCCAGUCUGAUACCAGGAAUACUACUUUACACUACGGUGACUAUCUAAAAUGGGGGAUUUAUGGAUUCCUGCAAUUAGCAAAAGAUGUUGGUGAUGUAAACAGAUAAACUUGACGCACUCCUGCUUUUCUAACAGUAGUGUAAAAAGUUCUUUUCACCAGAAUACUAGAGGAAUCUUGUGUCCUUGCACAUAGUUCUGUAAGUGCUUUGGUGUCUGGAUGAAUUCAUUAGACCUGUGGUCUCUCCUCUCUCAGCUUUCCUAGUCUGUUUCUGUUUUUUCUCAUAAUCACCCAGAAAACACAAUUACAAUCUUAUCACUGCUUAACCUUGUGUUUUGUUACUUGUUAGGUAGCCUUGUGUUUUGUACUUUAGUCCCAAGAAUGCCUCUUAGACUGCAUAGCUGCAUGACUAAUUCAUCCUGUGUUUGUAUUCUCAGUAGUGCUUCUAUUGUUUGAAUGUCCUGCUUAUACAAGAAUGUUUCAUGGUUUCUUUGUAUUUGUCCUGGAAGAAAGAUAUCUCUUACAUUCAUUAGCUUUAAGAAGACAAAACUCUUCCUCUCCUGCCUCUCCUUCUCCCCCCUCCCCACGGGCACAAUAAUACAUUGAUGGAGUAAUAUUACAAAUAUCAAACAGAGUUUUUAGGGUCCAGGCAUGAUGCUUCCUCCCCGUGGUAAUCGAGCUCUAAUAAAUAAUCCAGCUCUAUAUAGUAAUCUUACUGAAAUGUAGUGCCUCCUGGGGGUGACAGCCAUAUGCACUAUGAGACUAUAGGUUCCAGCAGCAGCUCAAGACAGACUCCUUUGUGUAUACAAUUCAAUGGAAACUAAAUGCAUCAAGCUACAAUCAAAUCAGUGUCCUCCAUAUCAGUCACCAGGGGUCACUUGAUCUCUUCCUAGCAAGGAUUUUGUUAUUCACACAUUCCACCGAAGCCGUCAAAUGGUCCAACUCAAUAACAACUAAUAAAGCAAGCACCCCCUAAAAAUUUCCCUAGGGAAUCUUUUUAAAUUGAACAGGGAGUAAUAAAUCUUGGAGUGUCAAUAAUGGUGCAAACGUUAAUUUUGUUGACUCUGCUGCGUGCCUCCUCAACUGAAAUUUCAAGUGCUGCUCUGGGAAGAUGGCUGCUACUUGCGUUCAGUCUGCUGCUGUCUGCCUGCCGCAACAGUUUCUGAUCUGCAGAAAGGGCUGUUUCCCAUGGGCUGUGCACAAAACAGUGCUCUGGUGGUCUGAGUUAUUUCUGCACCUUCUAAAUCUCAGCUACUGAUUUUAGUGAUGCCCUUAAAUAGGAGUUAGAUGACAGUGAUAAAUGUGCAGAUAAGGCUUUCUCAGAUGGCUGGUACAGUCCCUAGCAUGUAACAGAAAUGUAUCCCUGUGUUUAGGAUAGUAUUAGUAUCAAUAAUACAAUUUUCUCUAUUAUACGGACUGGAUAGAAUACGGCUUUUAUGGUGUAAAUUUAGUCUAUUAAAGGCAUCUCUGUGAAUAAA